UACGGAGGGGGCUAGCGUUGUUCGGAAUUACUGGGCGUAAAGCGUACGUAGGCGGCUUUGUAAGUUAGAGGUGAAAGCCCGGGGCUCAACCCCGGAAUAGCCUUUAAGACUGCAUCGCUUGAACGUCGGAGAGGUGAGUGGAAUUCCGAGUGUAGAGGUGAAAUUCGUAGAUAUUCGGAAGAACACCAGUGGCGAAGGCGGCUCACUGGACGACUGUUGACGCUGAGGUACGAAAGCGUGGGGAGCAAACAGG
rnacentral:rRNA from 1 species